CAGUCGUGAGGAAGGCGGCGUCGUUAAUAGCGGCGUUGUUUGACGUUAGCGACAGAAGAAGCACCGGCUAACUCCGUGCCAGCAGCCGCGGUAAUACGGAGGGUGCGAGCGUUAAUCGGAAUUACUGGGCGUAAAGCGCAUGCAGGUGGUUUGUUAAGUCAGAUGUGAAAGACCCGGGGCGUUAACCUCGGAAUAGCAUUUGUAAACUAGGCAGACUAGAGUACUGUAGAGGGGGGUAGGAAUUUCUAGGUGUAGCGGUGAAAUAGCGUAGAGAUCUGAAGGAAUACCGGUGGCGAAGGCGGCCCCCUCGGACAGAUACUGACACUCAGAUGCGAAAGCGUGGGGAGCAAACAGGAUUAGAUACCCUGGUAG
rnacentral:rRNA from 1 species